AAUUAACGAGAGUCUAGCUGUUUCAUUUCUAUUUAUAAAAACUAUCCUUAAAAUGAAGAGAUUUUAAUAAAAUAAAAAGACAAAAAGACCCUAUUGAGCUUUAUCUAAAAAUAAGUUUAUAGUUAAAAUUUUAUACUACUUCUUAUUAAAGAUUUUGUUGGGGCGACAUAAGAAGAUCUCAAUCUUCUUAAGUAAACCAGGAAACCUUCCUUUUUAAUGAUCCGUUUUUACGAUUAAAGAAACCAGCUACCAUAGGGAUAACAGGCUAAUCUUCCUUGAGAGCCCAAAUU
rnacentral:rRNA from 1 species